GCCUUCUUAGCUCAGUGGUAGAGCGUUGCACUUGUACCUCAUGCGAUGACAAUGCAAAGGUCAGUCGUUCAAUCCGGCUAGGAGGCA
rnacentral:tRNA from 1 species